UAAUGAUAGAUCAAGUUACAAGCUCCCACACUAAUGUAUACAAACAACCCCAGGUGGAAUUUUGGUCAGUUAAGAUUUAUAUAUGCAGGCAAACAUCAGGUCAGAUGCAAAGAAAUAGUUCUUGUCUAUUCUCUUCAUUAAUUGAAAAAAAAGAAGUGUUUAUAAAAAGGAUGUUUUUACAAUAGCUUUUCAACUUAAGGAUUUGACACCUUCUUUAGCUGACCAAGAAAGUGUAUGUGUGGGAUCAAUUUAUCUGUGUAGUAAUACCAAAUUUUGAAAUCUGGCAUUUGAUGAGUCAGCCUGGGAGAAACUGGAAACACAUUGUGAGAGGUACCUUCUGUGAAAAAAGUGCAAUUUUGUGACAUGAUAUGCCUGCCUGACUGUAUAUACCUGAGCAGCAUACAGCUUAUUACUGCAUAAAAGAAACAUAUCAAGAUAAUUUUGAAUCAGAUUGUGUGCUGGAAAAAUGGCCUUACAUCCAAAGGAGUGAAAUUUGGAGAGUCAUUCGCCAUCUACUUAAGCCAUCCUGGAAUAUGAAAAAAUAAGACUGCAUUGACAACAUCCUGAUCCUCGUGUUCAGAUCUUUUGUGAUUUCUUGUGAAGAGUCUUUGAUUUUUCAUAAAAAUAAAAAAUAUAUUAAUAUAAUUUGA